rnacentral:lncRNA from 1 species
AAGCAUUUAAAAGGGUAUGACGUAGAUCGGAACCCAAAAUUUUCUUAAAAAAUUUUCCGACAAGAGGGAAAAUUUUAGGAAAAUUGUGAUCUGAUAAUUUGUGUACAUACUCCUUGAACAACGACAAACAUCGUUCUGUAGUUUUUUUUCUCGAAAUAAAAAAAAAUUUCCGACACAAGUAUCAGGUUAUAAGUAGUUAUAUUGCAAAUCAAAAAAUCUAAGUGUCCGACAAAAAUAUUGGGUCAAAUCCAAAGUCGGACAAAAAAUUUAAUUUUUAUUAAUAAACUGUCUUUUAAACCUUAUUGGGUUCGUGCAACCCUUACCUUUAAAACCAUUUUUCCGACAACAUUAGUAGGUUAUAAGUAAUUAUAUUCUUAAUCAAAAAAUCGAAGUGUCGGACAAAAAUAUUGGGGCAACUCGACAGUCGGACAAAAAAUUUAUUUUUAUUAGUAAAAUAUACUUUCAAAUUAUGCUGGGUUCGUGCAUCCCUUAUCUUUACAACCAUAUUUCAGACAAAAGUAGUAGGUUACAAGUAAUUAUAUUCUUAAACAAAAAAUAUAAUUGUCUGACAAAAAUGUUGGGGCAAACGAACAGAAAACUUAAUUCUUUUAGGCUAUCGACGAGGAGGUAUUAUCAAAAAAAAAUUUUAAAACAGUGUUUCUCGGUUACUUUUGAUCGAUUUAGCUGAAAAUUGGUACACACACUAAGUAAAGCAUUUAAAAGGGUAUGACGUCGAUCGGAACCCAAAAUUUUCUUAAAAAAUUUUCCGACAAGAGGGAAAAUUUUAGAAAAAUUGUGAUCUGAUAAUUUGUGUACAUACUCCUUGAACAACGACAAACAUCGUUCUGUAGUUUUUUUUUCUCGAAAUAAAAAAAAAUUCCGACACAAGUAUCAGGUUAUAAGUAGUUAUAUUCCAAAUCAAAAAAUCUAAGUGUCCGACAAAAAUAUUGGGUCAAAUCCAAAGUCGGACAAAAAAUUUAAUUUUUAUUAAUAAACUGUCUUUUAAACCUUACUGGGCUCGUGCAACCCUUACCUUUAAAACCAUUUUUCCGACAACAUUAGUAGGUUAUAAGUAAUUAUAUUCUUAAUCAAAAAAUCAAAGUGUCGGACAAAAAUAUUGGGGCAACUCGACAGUCGGACAAAAAAUUUAUUUUUAUUAGUAAAGUAUGCUUUCAAAUUAUGCUGGGUUCGUGCAUCCCUUAUCUUUACAACCAUUUUUCCGACAAAAGUAGUAGGUUACAAGUAAUUAUAUUCUUAAACAAAAAAUAUAGUUGUCUGACAAAAAUGUUGGGGCAAACUAACACAAAACUUAAUUCUUUUAGGCUAUCGACGAGGAGGUAUUAUCAAAAAAAAAUUUUAAAACAGUGUUUCUCGGUUACUUUUGAAUCGAUUUAGCUGAAAAUUGGUACACACGCUAAGUAAAGCAUUUAAAAGGGUAUGACGUAGAUCGGAACCCAAAAUUUUCUUAAAAAAUUUUCCGACAAGAGGGAAAAUUUUAGAAAAAUUGUGAUCUGAUAAUUUGUGUACAUACUCCUUGAACAACUACAAACAUCGUUCUGUAGUUUUUUUUCUCGAAAUAAAAAAAAAAUUCCGACACAAGUAUCAGGUUAUAAGUAGUGAUAUUCCAAAUCAAAAAAUCUAAGUGUCCGACAAAAAUAUUGGGUCAAAUCCAAAGUCGGACAAAAAAUUUAAUUUUUAUUAAUAAACUGUCUUUUAACCCCACUGGGUUCGUGCAACCCUUACCUUUAAAACCAUUUUUCCGACAACAUUAGUAGGAUAUAAGUAAUUAUAUUCUUAAUCAAAAAAUCAAAGUGUCGGACAAAAACAUUGGGGCAACUCGACAGUCGGACAAAAAAUUUAUUUUUAUUAGUAAAGUAUACUUUCAAAUUAUGCUGGCUUCGUGCAUCCCUUAUCUUUACAACCAUUUUUCCGACAAAAGUAGUAGGUUACAAGUAAUUAUAUUCUUAAACAAAAAAUAUAAUUGUCUGACAAAAAUGUUGGGGCAAACGAACAGAAAACUUAAUUCUUUUAGGCUAUCGACGAGGAGGUAUUAUCAAAAAAAAUUUUAAAACAGUGUUUCUCGGUUACUUUUGAAUCGAUUUAGCUGAAAAUUGGUACACACACUAAGUAAAGCAUUUAAAAGGGUAUGACGUAGAUCGGAACCCAAAAUUAUCUUAAAAAAUUUUCCGACAAGAGGGAAAAUUUUAGAAAAAUUGUGAUCUGAUAAUUUGUGUACAUACUCCUUGAACAACGACAAACAUCGUUCUGUAGUUUUUUUUUGUCGAAAUAAAAAAAAUUUCCGACACAAGUAUCAAGUUAUAAGUAGUUAUAUUCCAAAUCAAAAAAUCUAAGUGUCCGACAAAAAUAUUGGGUCAAAUCCAAAGUCGGACAAAAAAUUUAAUUUUUAUUAAUAAACUGUCUUUUAAACCUUACUGGGUUCGUGCAACCCUUACCUUUAAAACCACUUUUCCGACAACAUUAGUAGGUUAUAAGUAAUUAUAUUCUUAAUCAACAAAUCAAAGUGUCGGACAAAAAUAUUGGGGCAACUCGACAGUCGGACAAAAAAUUUAUUUUUAUUAGUAAAGUAUACUUUCAAAUUAUGCUGGGUUCGUGCAUCCCUUAUCUUUACAACCAUUUUUCCGACAAAAGUAGUAGGUUACAAGUAAUUAUAUUCUUAAACAAAAAAUAUAGUUGUCUGACAAAAAUGUUGGGGCAAACUAACAGAAAUCUUAAUUCUUUUAGGCUAUCGACGAAGAGGUAUUAUCAAAAAAAAAAUUUAAAACAGUGUUUCUCGGUUACUUUUGAAUCGAUUUAGCUAAAAAUUGGUACACACGCUAAGUACUACACUUAAAAGGGCAUGACAAAGAAUUGUACACAAAAUUUUCCAAAAAGAUUUUCCGACAAGAGGGAAAAUUUCGGAAUUUUUUUUAAAAAUUUUAGAAUGUUCUCUACAAGGCAGAACCCGACAUCCGACGCCCUGAAGGGCACUAAGGAUUAUGAGAAAGAAGAAGAAGAAGGAAUGUUCUCUACGUUACGUCCUUAUAAUUAUUAUAAGGUGUAUUUCUACAAAUUUUCAGUUUGAUCUAUGUAGAUCUAACCGAGAAAAAUUGUUUACAGUUCGCUUUGGUCUCCUUGAUGCUUAUUAUUUUUUUAUAUCCCAGAGAACGGCUGUUCCCGUACAUGCGACACUAUAUUAUACAAGAAAUUUUCGAUUUUCUAAAUGUGACUGAAUUGAAAAAAUUGGGCCAAAUCCAAUCUUAAAAUAUAGGAAAAGAGAUAUAUGUCAACCAUCCAUUUUGGUCCAAGGGUGUGGAUUUUACGUCCCAUUUAGUGUCUGUUUUUCGUUCUCGUCCCCAAAAAUAUUACUGAACAUUACCUUUCCAAAGCAUGGUUAAUUUUGAAAAUUCUUCUCUUCUUCUUCUUCUUCUUCUUCUUCUUACUUUUAUAUAGACAUUACUCUGUCUGUUUUUCAAUGUGCCUCCAGUAAGUUGUCAUUCCACCUUUUUCGUGGUCUUCCCACUGAUCGUCUUCCUAUUGGGGAACCUUCUCUGACCGUCCUUACUACUCUAUUUGUUGUCAUUCGGCUUAUGUGGUCGUUCCAUUCUACUCUUCUGCUUUUCACCCCAUAGGCGUAACCAGGGGGUGGUUUUGGGGGUUAUAACCCCCCUUUUGGAUGUACUUUGAGCUCUAUACGCUUAACACAAUUAUUAUUCCAUACCCCCAGAGACCUUCAAGUAGACGUAACUCCCCCUUAGGAUCAUCCUGGUUACACCUCUGUUUCACCCAGUUAUUAAUGUUGUCCACCUUGCAUCUCCUUCAUAUAUCUGCACUUCUAGCUCUAUCCCACAGCGUCUUACCAUCGAUUUUUCGCAAUGUUUUCAUCUCUGCUGUUUCUAUAGCAUUCUUUUUGUCCUUUCUGUAUCAGGUUGUGUUUCUGCCGCGUAUGUCAUUAUUGGUCUGAUGACUCUUUUGUAAAUUCUGCCUUUCACUUCUUUUCUGAUGUUUUUAUUUCUCUAUAUUGUUUCAUUCAGGCAACCUGCGGCUCUGUUUGCUUUAUUCACCUGAUCUUCCACUUUUGUUUCGAGCUUUCCGUAGCUGCAUAGUGUGAUGCCUAGAUAUUUAAACUCCAUGACUUGUUCUAUUAUUUGACCCUCCAGCUCUAAUUUACACCUUAUUAGAUCUGCUGUUAUAACGAUGCAUUUAGUCUUUUUUAGGGAAAUUUACAUGUUAAAUUUUCUAGCGGUUAUAUUAAAUUCGUGCAGCAUACGUUGUAAAUCAUCUUCACUUUGAGAGAUUAGUAUUGCGUCGUCUGCAUAGCAGAUUAUUUUAAGUGGUUUUUCUCCCAUUUGGUAUUCUUUUUUUGUUCUUACUUUUUUUAUUAUUUCGUCCAUGAUCAGGUUGAACAACAGAGGACUCAGGGAAUCUCCCUGUUUUAUCCCAUUGUAAUUUUGAAAAUUGUAUAUACCAUUCAAAAGUUACCGAUCUCAGAAAUUUUAUUCAAUUUCUAUUUAAAAAGGGAAAAAUGUUUUUUCUCAAAGUUCGCAUCACCCCGUGGAAUAUUCUAGCAUCUAUAAAAUACUAAAAUUAAAACCUAACUAUAGCCUCAUUCCUUCUCAACAUUCAGUUUUUUCAUUCAUUCGUUUAUGUUGGAUAAUAAAAAAGUUAAGGACUUUAAUAACUAGCCAUGUUUUUCAUAGACAAAGUGUGUUUUUAAAUGGCAAACUUUAAGGAGUAAUUGUGCAUGACAAAAUAAAGUCAGUUUGCUUUACGAGAAAAACGUAUGUCCACAAAUGCAUCGUUUCCGAGAUAGGGGGUGUUGAAGUUUUUCUGACAAACUGACGAUUUAUUUAUUGCUUUAAAACCAGUUGAGAUAUGCAAAUGAAAUUUGGUGGGUUUUAAGAGGUAGUUAUUGCACAUUUUUUAACUACAGUUAAGAAUUUAAUAUUCACCAUUGGCGCGCAUACGGGUAAUAUGAGCCGAAAAAUACGUAAUUUAAUAUGAAGUCAAAAAUGUAUAAAAAUUAAUUUUUUUUAAAUUGUACCAAAACGCCCCAUUAUUUUUGUCCGACAAGUGAUCCAAUAUGCAUUACACAUGUAAAAAAACAGUACAAAAUAAAAAUAACAUCUGUGGUAAUAAAUAAAAAAAUUUCAGGAAAUUGACAUUUUCGGCGCGUCCGACUGCGCAUAUGCCCCGUGAAAAUUGUCCGACAAGGUUACCACAUUAUUGUAAAAAGGUUUUAUGGUAGAUACCGUUAAAAUUAUCCAUGUGGUAAUAAAUUUAUUAUUUUCAUAAAUUUUAAGUUAUUUUUCGGGUGUAACUUUAAUGAUAUUAUGCUAAAAAUGAUGGUGUAUCGCAUAUUUAAAAUGCGUUUAUCUCGAAAACGGUUGAGUUUAGGAAGAUGAAAGAAGUAUACCUUUUUUAAGUAAAACUAAUAGGAAAAUAAAAAUUUUAAUGUCAAAAUUAUACAGAGUGAGGGAUAAAAAAAAUUGAACGUAAUAAAUGAGUGCUGAAAGGCAUAUGUGGCGCCCUCUGGGCAAUGCAUAAUUUUUGGUAAGGAAUUUAGAUUUCUCGACCCAAGAAACCCCCAAAUAUAAAAUUUCAUGUUGUUAUCUCAUACCUAUCAGGAAAUAUUAAAUAAUAAAUAAAAAAAAAGUUUAACUUUGACACCCUGUAUCUCGGCUAUUAUAAACUUUGUACUAAGGUAAGUUAGCUUAAAUCGGCCUAUUUUAACCUCAGGAACCUGAGGUUAAGCUAUGGCCCAUUCUUUACCAAACACCCUGUAUGCAUAAAAAUUACUUCUUCUUUUAAUUGUACCAAAACGCCCCAUUAUUUUUGUCCGACAAGUGAUCCAAUAUGCAUUACACAUGUAAAAGAACAGUACAAAAUAAAAAUGACAUCUGUGGUAAUAAAUAAAAAAUUUUCAGGAAAUUGACAUCUUCGGCGCGUCCGACUGCGCAUAUGCCCCGUGAAAAUUGUCCGACAAGGUUACCACAUUAUUGUAAAAAGGUUUUAUGAUAGAUACCGUUAAAAUUACCGAUGUGGUAAUAAAUUUAUUAUUUUCAUAAAUUUGACAUAUUUAGCGUGUCCGACGCGUCAUA